GCAAGUCGAACGAGAACGGAUUAAAGCUUGCUUUAAUUGUCAGCUAAGUGGCGCACGGGUGAGUAAUAUAUAGGUAACAUGCCCUAGAGAGGGGGAUAACAGAUGGAAACGUCUGCUAACACCCCAUAUGCCUUUAAGUCUUAAGACUGCAAGGGAAACAUUUAUGGCUCUAGGAGUGGCCUGUGCGGUAUCAGUUAGUUGGGGAGGUAAUGGCUCACCAAGACAAUGACACCUAGCUGGUUUGAGAGGAUGAGC
rnacentral:rRNA from 1 species